rnacentral:ncRNA from 2 species
CAGUGGGUGCGAAUCCCACCCGGCUACUGUCGCUCCGGCCGGAAGCACUUUGGAGCAGUUCAGGAGGCAACGAAUGGGCUGAAGUAUCUGAAGAAAAGGCUUCUUUAGGAAGUCAGUGACUGUGCAGGCCGUAGCGCGC